rnacentral:rRNA from 1 species
UGGGGAAUAUUGGACAAUGGGGGCAAGCCUGAUCCAGCAAUGCCGCGUGUGUGAAGAAGGCCUUCGGGUUGUAAAGCACUUUUAUCGGGAGUGAAAGAGCGUCGGUUAAUACCCGGCGUGGAUGACGGUACCUGAGGAAUAAGCACCGGCUAAAUUCGUGCCAGCAGCCGCGGUAAUACGAAGGGUGCAAGCGUUAAUCGGAAUUACUGGGCGUAAAGCGUGCGUAGGCGGUUCGUUAAGUCUGCUGUGAAAUCCCCGGGCUCAACCUGGGAAUGGCAGUGGAUACUGGCGAGCUAGAGUGUGUCAGAGGGUGGUGGAAUUCCCGGUGUAGCGGUGAAAUGCGUAGAGAUCGGGAGGAACAUCAGUGGCGAAGGCGGCCACCUGGGACAACACUGACGCUGAGGCACGAAAGCGUGGGGAGCAAACAGGAUUAGAUACCCCGGUAGUCCACGCCCUAAACGAUGCGAACUGGAUGUUGGUCUCAACUCGGAGAUCAGUGUCGAAGCUAACGCAGU